UACGUAGGGGGCAAGCGUUGUCCGGAAUCAUUGGGCGUAAAGAGCGUGUAGGCGGCCCGAUAAGUCCGCUGUGAAAUCUCGAGGCUCAACUUCGAGCUGUCGGUGGAAACUAUCUGGCUAGAGUCCGGAAGAGGAGAAUGGAAUUCCUGGUGUAGCGGUGAAAUGCGCAGAUAUCAGGAAGAACACCCGUGGCGAAGGCGGUUCUCUGGGACGGUACUGACGCUGAGACGCGAAAGCGUGGGGAGCGAACAGG
rnacentral:rRNA from 1 species